UACGUAUGUCGCAAGCGUUAUCCGGAAUUAUUGGGCAUAAAGGGCAUCUAGGCGGCCAGGCAAGUCUGGGGUGAAAACCUGCGGCUCAACCGCAGGCCUGCCCUGGAAACUGCGUGGCUAGAGUGCUGGAGAGGUGGACGGAACUGCACGAGUAGAGGUGAAAUUCGUAGAUAUGUGCAGGAAUGCCGAUGAUGAAGAUAGUUCACUGGACGGUAACUGACGCUGAAGUGCGAAAGCCGGGGGAGCAAACAGG
rnacentral:rRNA from 1 species